ACUCAAAGGAAUUGACGGGGGCUCACACAAGCGGUGGAGCAUGUGGCUUAAUUCGAGGCUACGCGCAGAACCUUAUCCCGGGCUUGACAUGCACGGAUUACUCGGCGGAAACGUCGAGGAGGCCGCAAGGUACAACGUGCACAGGUGCUGCAUGGCUGUCGUCAGCUCGUGCCGUGAGGUGUUGGGUUAAGUCCCGUAACGAGCGAAACCCCUGCGUCCAGUUGCCAGCGCGUCAUGGCGGGGACUCUGGACGGACCGCCGGCGUCAAGCCGGAGGAAGGCGGGGACGACGUCAAGUCCUCAUGGCCCUUAUGCCCGGGGCUGCACACGUGCUACAAUGGGGCGGACAGAGCGCCGCAAGGCCGCAAGGCCGAGCCAAUCGCAAAAACCGCCCCCCAGUUCGGAUUGCGGGCUGCAACCCGCCCGCAUGAAGCCGGAAUCGCUAGUAAUCGCCGAUCAGCACUGCGGCGGUGAAUGGGUUCCUGAGCCUUGUACACACCGCCCGU
rnacentral:rRNA from 1 species